GGAAUCUUGAAAUUCUCCGUCUAUCAAAUUCUAUGACAGGUGCAGCACCCCACAUUUCCGCAACAAUCCUGUUCAGAUGGGAACACCCAGAGGCUUGACUGUGAGUGAUGGUGUGUGUCUUGGUUAAGUUAAAAAAACAAUCCACUCAAUUAGUUCCAUGUUGGUACCGUAUUUUUCGCUCCAUAAGGCGCACCUGACCAUAAGGUGUGCCCAGUUUUUAGAGGGGGAAUUCAAGAAAAAACAUAUUAUUUAAAGGGAGCGCUGAGCAGAGCCUGUAUGCAUCCCAGGCUCUGCUCAGUGCUCCCUUUCAUGAGCCGCGUAGAGCGUGUGUGCAGCGCUUGCAGGCUUUUCCCCGAGGAGGGAGAAGCCCCCAAGAGCCACACACACACUCCGCGUGGCUCUUUAAAGGGAGCGCGGCCCUUGGGGGCUUUUCUAGGAGGUGGUGGAAGGGAAGGAUAGCCGUGCGAGAAUGUGGCACAAAAGCCAAGGAUAGCCACAUGAAGCCUCCACAGGGCAACGGGAUGAAGGCUCCCUGCUGCCCUGCGGAGGCUUUGCGCCACUAAGGCAGAAGCUAAAACAGCUAGAGGGAGUGCUGCACAGCGCUCUCUCUAGCUGUUCUGGCUUCUGGAGUAGCCCGUGAAGCCUCUGCAGGGCAGCAGGGAGCCUUCAUCCCACUACCCUGCGGAGGCUUCGUGGGCUACCCCAGAGCUGCUCAGGAGCGCGGGGGCAUCUGUGCGCAGCCUGUCUGCUGCUCCCAGGGGCUGUCGGGGAAGCCCGGGUUCUCCCCCCCAGCCCCAGGGACCACACAUUCGCUCCAUAAGACGCACAGACUUUCCCCCUUAGUUUUCAAGAGGAAAAAAGUGUGUCUUAUGGAGCGAAAAAUACGGUAUUUUUUAGUAUUUCUGUAGGAGUCCUUUGCCUAUUUUAACAGUGAGAGUUGGGAGUCCUCCACUGAGACUAUGACACCCAUGUGCUGGGGGUUGUGCAAUGGAAUACAAGGGUGAAUGAAUGUGCCCUUCUCUGAUUAUUGUAGCACCAUCUCUUUAUUUUGUUUCAUCUACUGAGGGACACUUCCUCUGUUGUUCUCUGUGGAGUCCAGGCAUAACGCUGAUAGGCAGGGCCUAGUUCCACCCCUGGUGCUUUCAUUGGGAGCCUACAGGGUGCUACCAGACUGCUAUUUUCCACUGGGAUUCAAUCGCAUACUGGCAGAUUUUUUGCCAUAAGGAAAGUGAUGGGGAAAGUGUGGGGGGCAAUACUUGCUUUGAUGUAAUGUCGUCUAGCCUCCCCAUAAAAAAUCAGAGGGAAUAGCCAACGUCAUCUCCUUGCAAAGAAAUCUGGACAGUUGCUUGACAAGCACAUUGUCUGGAAGCACCCACAGAGGGAAAUUGUCCUAAACCAGACCAUUUUUUCGCUCUGCCUUGAAGGAGAGCUUUGCUGGAUCAGAACCAAAGGCUUACCUAGUCCAGCAUUUUCCCCACCGUGGCCAACCAGAUGCCUCAAUGGGAAGUUUGAGGGCAGGACUUGAGCACAACAACAGGCCUCAUGUGCCCCAGUACUUGGUCUUGUCUGCUUGGGGCCUCGUCAGACACCUUGCAGGCGGCUGCAUACAGAGAACGUGGUCAAGCUCAAUUUAGGAGUUUUAUUUACAUACACAACUUGUUACACCUUGUGCCUUCAUGGCAAUGAUACUAUUUCUGCCCUGAAACUGAUGAAGCGUGGCUGUUGGAAAAGAGACUUGUCACCAUGAAGUAAAAUCCUCACACCUUAGGCCUAAAACAAAGAGGAAAUUACCUGUAUUUCCACCGUCCUCCUCGUGGCCUAGUUAGGUGCCAGAAGUCGUCCAACAGGUCCUUUCCUCCUUGCUGUCUCCCUCCAGAAGGUCAGCAUGGGGCCAGAGCUUCACACCAAUUCUCAAACUGCAGUCUUCGCAACAGCACCGUAAGCCAGUAUUAUUGUUUCCGGUUUUGCAGAUUAGACUGAGAGAUUGGCCUGUCCAAGGUCACUAAGUGAGUUCACGGCUGAUGUGAGAUUCAAACGGGGAACUUCCUGAUUGACUGCCAUUACACCACACCAGCUCUGAGUAGCUAAGAGCCUAAGAAGAACCUUCAUGGAUCAGGAUGAAUGUCCAUCUAGGAUCGCUUCCUGUUUCCCUGCAGUGGCCAACCCAACCAGAUGCCCCCAGGAGACCCUCAAGCGAGGCGUGGACACUCCCUUAAGAACAUAAGAAGAACCUGCUGGAUUGGGCCAACCUAGUCCAGCAUCCUGUUGUCGCAGUGGCCACCCAGAUGCCUGUAGGCAAUUCUCAAGCAGGAUCCAAUCACAAGAGCUCUUUCCCCAUCUCCUUACUCUUGCCCCUUUCCUCACAGCUGGUGUUUAGCAGCAUACUGCUUCAGAACUUGUCGAUUCCAUUUAGCCAUCACAUAGCAAAUAGAAUCAUCAGCUGUUGAGCUGUAUUUAAACAAGUUGCCUGGUCUGAUCAUUCUUCCUGUGGCAAUGUGUGUUGCCUAGCAAUGACUGUACAUGAGAGAGAGAGAGAGCGCGCGCACACACAAUAUAAUAUAUGAGAAAGUGCUCUGUAGGGGCUUUGACUCUGCUGG